rnacentral:rRNA from 1 species
AAACUUUCAACAACGGAUCUCUUGGUUCUGGCAUCGAUGAAGAACGCAGCGAAAUGCGAUAAGUAGUGUGAAUUGCAGAAUUCAGUGAAUCAUCGAAUCUUUGAACGC